rnacentral:rRNA from 1 species
UACAGGGGGUGCAACCGUUAAUCGGAAUUACUGGGCGUAAAGCGUGCGUAGUCGGUUAUUUAAGUCGGAUGUGAAAUCCCCGGGCUCAACCUGGGAACUGCGCUUGUGACUGGCAGGCUAGAGUACGGCAGAGGGGGGUGGAAUUCCACGUGUAGCAGUGAAAUGCGUAGAGAUGUGGAGGAACACCAAUGGCGAAGGCAGCCCCCUGGGUCGAUACUGACGCUCAUGCACGAAAGCGUGGGUAGCAAACAGG